UGGAUAUCAAGUCAUUCUCAUCUAGUAAAAUGUGUUAUGUGGGUUGUUGCACCUCCCAUUAUUGCAGUGUAAGACAGUUUCAGGUGUCUCGGGUGCAAAACACCAGAUCAACUGUGGUACAUAGCAGUCUGACUACAUCUCUUUUCGUGGUAAUGACUGGGGAAGAGUUAGCUUCUACUUGGUGUGUGAAACGGGUUUACAAUUCUAAGGCCUCUCCAACUUGAAUACGAGAAAUAUCAUGGACCAAAAUGACUGGAGAGGAAAACAUGAAUAAUCCACAAUCUACAAAAAGGUCUCGGUCCAGUGUGUGGAUAACGCUGAUGGAUUUCCUGGUGUGGUCGUCUGGGAAAAGAGUACCUUCCCGCGUUCUUCAACACAAGAUGCUAUUGAAGAGACGUCUUCUGGAGAAGUAUGGGGCUCCAGUUCUGUUAGACCUUUCCAGAGGCCACAUUAUGAUACUGAGGCAAAUUCUAUGGAUCAACAGAGGCUUUAAGCAAAUCACUACCAGUUUGAGAAGGAUGAACAGAAGCGCAGAGUAUAGACUGGAAACCCCAAAGUCAAAGUGGGAAACACCUCCCAAGGUGGUAGAGAACGAGCGAGCCAAGAUCCUGUGGGACUUCCAGAUACAGACAGACAGAAUGGUAAUGGCGAACCAACCAGACAUUGUGGUGGUGGACAAAGAGCAGAGUAAAGUCGUAGUGGUGGAUGUGGCAAUACCAAGCGAUGGCAACAUCAGGAAAAAGGAACAUGAGAAACUAGAGAAAUACCAAGGGCUCAGAGAAGAACUGGAGAAGGCUUGGAAGGUGAAGGCCACAGUGGUGGUGAUUGGAGCACUGGGGGUUGUGACCCCCAAUCUGGAGGAGUGGCUACGACAUCCCUGGAAAAACAUUCGACAUCUCAGUCCAGAAAAGUGCAGUCCUAGGAACAGCAAGGAUACUGCGCAGAACCCUCAAGCUCCCUGGCCUCUGGUAGAGGACCCGAGCUUGGAAAGUGGAUGA
rnacentral:lncRNA from 1 species